rnacentral:rRNA from 1 species
UUAAGCGACUAAGCGUACACGGUGGAUGCCCUGGCAGUCAGAGGCGAUGAAGGACGUGCUAAUCUGCGAUAAGCGUCGGUAAGGUGAUAUGAACCGUUAUAACCGGCGAUUUCCGAAUGGGGAAACCCAGUGUGUUUCGACACACUAUCAUUAACUGAAUCCAUAGGUUAAUGAGGCGAACCGGGGGAACUGAAACAUCUAAGUACCCCGAGGAAAAGAAAUCAACCGAGAUUCCCCCAGUAGCGGCGAGCGAACGGGGAGCAGCCCAGAGCCUGAAUCAGUGUGUGUGUUAGUGGAAGCGUCUGGAAAGGCGCGCGAUACAGGGUGACAGCCCCGUACACAAAAAUGCACAUGCUGUGAGCUCGAUGAGUAGGGCGGGACACGUGGUAUCCUGUCUGAAUAUGGGGGGACCAUCCUCCAAGGCUAAAUACUCCUGACUGACCGAUAGUGAACCAGUACCGUGAGGGAAAGGCGAAAAGAACCCCGGCGAGGGGAGUGAAAAAGAACCUGAAACCGUGUACGUACAAGCAGUGGGAGCACGCUUCGGCGUGUGACUGCGUACCUUUUGUAUAAUGGGUCAGCGACUUAUAUUCUGUAGCAAGGUUAACCGAAUAGGGGAGCCGAAGGGAAACCGAGUCUUAACUGGGCGUUAAGUUGCAGGGUAUAGACCCGAAACCCGGUGAUCUAGCCAUGGGCAGGUUGAAGGUUGGGUAACACUAACUGGAGGACCGAACCGACUAAUGUUGAAAAAUUAGCGGAUGACUUGUGGCUGGGGGUGAAAGGCCAAUCAAACCGGGAGAUAGCUGGUUCUCCCCGAAAGCUAUUUAGGUAGCGCCUCGUGAAUUCAUCUCCGGGGGUAGAGCACUGUUUCGGCAAGGGGGUCAUCCCGACUUACCAACCCGAUGCAAACUGCGAAUACCGGAGAAUGUUAUCACGGGAGACACACGGCGGGUGCUAACGUCCGUCGUGAAGAGGGAAACAACCCAGACCGCCAGCUAAGGUCCCAAAGUCAUGGUUAAGUGGGAAACGAUGUGGGAAGGCCCAGACAGCCAGGAUGUUGGCUUAGAAGCAGCCAUCAUUUAAAGAAAGCGUAAUAGCUCACUGGUCGAGUCGGCCUGCGCGGAAGAUGUAACGGGGCUAAACCAUGCACCGAAGCUGCGGCAGCGACACUAUGUGUUGUUGGGUAGGGGAGCGUUCUGUAAGCCUGCGAAGGUGUGCUGUGAGGCAUGCUGGAGGUAUCAGAAGUGCGAAUGCUGACAUAAGUAACGAUAAAGCGGGUGAAAAGCCCGCUCGCCGGAAGACCAAGGGUUCCUGUCCAACGUUAAUCGGGGCAGGGUGAGUCGACCCCUAAGGCGAGGCCGAAAGGCGUAGUCGAUGGGAAACAGGUUAAUAUUCCUGUACUUGGUGUUACUGCGAAGGGGGGACGGAGAAGGCUAUGUUAGCCGGGCGACGGUUGUCCCGGUUUAAGCAUGUAGGCUGGUUAUCCAGGCAAAUCCGGAUAAUCAAGGCUGAGGUGUGAUGACGAGUCACUACGGUGAUGAAGUAACAAAUGCCCUGCUUCCAGGAAAAGCCUCUAAGCAUCAGGUAACACGAAAUCGUACCCCAAACCGACACAGGUGGUCAGGUAGAGAAUACCAAGGCGCUUGAGAGAACUCGGGUGAAGGAACUAGGCAAAAUGGUGCCGUAACUUCGGGAGAAGGCACGCUGAUAUGUAGGUGAAGCGACUUGCUCGUGGAGCUGAAAUCAGUCGAAGAUACCAGCUGGCUGCAACUGUUUAUUAAAAACACAGCACUGUGCAAACACGAAAGUGGACGUAUACGGUGUGACGCCUGCCCGGUGCCGGAAGGUUAAUUGAUGGGGUUAGCGCAAGCGAAGCUCUUGAUCGAAGCCCCGGUAAACGGCGGCCGUAACUAUAACGGUCCUAAGGUAGCGAAAUUCCUUGUCGGGUAAGUUCCGACCUGCACGAAUGGCGUAAUGAUGGCCAGGCUGUCUCCACCCGAGACUCAGUGAAAUUGAACUCGCUGUGAAGAUGCAGUGUACCCGCGGCAAGACGGAAAGACCCCGUGAACCUUUACUAUAGCUUGACACUGAACAUUGAGCCUUGAUGUGUAGGAUAGGUGGGAGGCUUUGAAGUGUGGACGCCAGUCUGCAUGGAGCCGACCUUGAAAUACCACCCUUUAAUGUUUGAUGUUCUAACGUGGACCCGUGAUCCGGGUUGCGGACAGUGUCUGGUGGGUAGUUUGACUGGGGCGGUCUCCUCCUAAAGAGUAACGGAGGAGCACGAAGGUUGGCUAAUCCUGGUCGGACAUCAGGAGGUUAGUGCAAUGGCAUAAGCCAGCUUGACUGCGAGCGUGACGGCGCGAGCAGGUGCGAAAGCAGGUCAUAGUGAUCCGGUGGUUCUGAAUGGAAGGGCCAUCGCUCAACGGAUAAAAGGUACUCCGGGGAUAACAGGCUGAUACCGCCCAAGAGUUCAUAUCGACGGCGGGGUUUGGCACCUCGAUGUCGGCUCAUCACAUCCUGGGGCUGAAGUAGGUCCCAAGGGUAUGGCUGUUCGCCAUUUAAAGUGGUACGCGAGCUGGGUUUAGAACGUCGUGAGACAGUUCGGUCCCUAUCUGCCGUGGGCGCUGGAGAACUGAGGGGGGCUGCUCCUAGUACGAGAGGACCGGAGUGGACGCAUCACUGGUGUUCGGGUUGUCAUGCCAAUGGCACUGCCCGGUAGCUAAAUGCGGAAGAGAUAAGUGCUGAAAGCAUCUAAGCACGAAACUUGCCCCGAGAUGAGUUCUCCCUGACUCCUUGAGAGUCCUGAAGGAACGUUGAAGACGACGACGUUGAUAGGCCGGGUGUGUAAGCGCAGCGAUGCGUUGAGCUAACCGGUACUAAUGAACCGUGAGGCUUAACCUU